GAUGAACGCUAGCGGCAGGCCUAAUACAUGCAAGUCGAACGGGAUUGCGGUAGUAGCUUGCUACUACUGCAUGAGAGUGGCGCACGGGUGCGUAACGCGUGAGCAACCUACCCAUAUCAGGGGGAUAGCCCGGCGAAAGUCGGAUUAACACCGCAUAACAUCAACAGUUCGCAUGUUCAGUUGAUUAAAUAUUUAUAGGAUAUGGAUGGGCUCGCGUGACAUUAGCUAGUUGGUAGGGUAACGGCUUACCAAGGCAACGAUGUCUAGGGGCUCUGAGAGGAGAAUCCCCCACACUGGUACUGAGACACGGACCAGACUCCUACGGGAGGCAGCAGUAAGGAAUAUUGGCCAAUGGGCGCAAGCCUGAACCAGCCAUGCCGCGUGCAGGAGGACUGCCCUAUGGGUUGUAAACUGCUUUUAUCAGGGAAUAAACCCCUUUACGAGUAGAGGGUUGAAUGUACCUGAAGAAUAAGGAUCGGCUAACUCCGUG
rnacentral:rRNA from 1 species